GGACCGCUGGCCAAAUUGGAUAAGGCGCGGAGCUACGGACUCCGAGAUUCUAGAUUCGAGUUCUAGGCGGUCCA
rnacentral:tRNA from 1 species